UACGGAGGGAGCUAGCGUUGUUCGGAAUUACUGGGCGUAAAGCGCACGUAGGCGGCUUUGUAAGUUAGAGGUGAAAGCCCGGAGCUCAACUCCGGAAUUGCCUUUAAGACUGCAUCGCUCGAAUCCAGGAGAGGUGAGUGGAAUUCCGAGUGUAGAGGUGAAAUUCGUAGAUAUUCGGAAGAAACACCAGUGGCGAAGGCGGCUCACUGGACUGGUAUUGACGCUGAGGUGGCGAAAAGCGUGGGGAGCGAACAGG
rnacentral:rRNA from 1 species